CAGAGAGGACCACCAAUACAGUGAGACGAGACUAAACAUAAGGAGACAUACAUUCUAACUGGAAAGCUGUAAUAAUCUAAAAUGAUUCAAGUAUUGUGAUUGGACAAAGAUGUGUUGUAGCUUAGCUGUGCUGCUUUUAAGCGCACCCGCCUCACUUUACUGGUUGCCAUGCCAACUCUUGUGGUAAAUAGGAAGCUUGUUUUCUCCUGGUUUGUGCCUCUUUUUUUAGUACACUUGCUUACAUCUGUUGAAGCAAAAUACCUUUGAGGAAGUUAUUCACUGUCAUAAAAGGUGGUGUAAUGUUGGUGCCAAACAGAAGGUACAUGGUGCAUCAAAGUAAAGAAAAACCUUCACAUAAUGCGGCUCUGGUAAAUACUGUAUGAUGACAGCGAAAAGAGUGAAUGGUGCUUUCAAGAUUUAGGGAAUUAAGAAGUAAAUUACAUUAAUCUUUGGGAUUUAACAUACCCAAUACAUUUUUUUUUAAAAACACCAGCUAAUGCUUCAGUGGAGCCUCGUGGAAGUUUAGGCAGGCACAGAAGCAGAUUUACAGUCACAUGUAGGGCUGCAACUAAUGAUUAUUUUCAUUGUCGAUUAAUCUACUGAUUAUUUUCUCGAUUCAUCAAUUAGUUGUUUUGUCUAUAAACUGUCAGAAAAUGGCAAAAAAUGGCCAUUACAAUUUUCUAAAGCCCAAGGUGACAUCUUCAAAUGUCUUGUUCUGUCCAAUCAACUGUCCAAAACCUAAAGAUAUUCACUUUACAAUGAUAUAUAACAGAGUAAAGCAGAAAACCCCCACUUUGGAGGAGCUGAAACAAGCAAAUGUUUUCCAUUUUUGCUUGAAAAAUGACUCAAACCAUUAAUCACUUAGCAAAAUAGUUGCAGAUUAAUGUUCUGUAGUCACAUGGUUUACAUAUUAUCAAUCAUAUAUUACCACAGUCCAUAUAAACAUUUGAUAAUCAUUUCAUAUUUGUAUACAUGGCAAGUCAAGACCAAAAACACAAAUUUGUCUUCAAGAGCUUUUUUUUAGUUUACAGCAUGUGAAUUUUGAAUGUCUUUCAAUGUGUGUUCAUGUUCACUGAAACAUAUAUCUCAGGCUCUUCCUGGGAGUUUGUAAUCUCUAGGACAGUCUGUGUCAAGCUUGCUCAGAUUUGUUCCAGAGCAUCACAUGAGCAGAGUCACGUCACCAAACUAAAAAGCUUUGUGCUUUUGUUUGUCACUGUAAUACAUCUGGCUGUAUCUGUGAAUAAAUUAGUUACUUUACAGUCUGUGUACUUGCGCUGAGACAGCUACAUCUUUGAGCCACAGGAGUGAGAGAGGUUAACAAGAAAACAUGGAGUAUGGUGAGAAAACAGGUUAUAAGAAAACAGUGCAGUGGUACAGUAGAGCCACACAUGUCUUAACAUGACAGACAUGAACCUAAGACACAGUAGAAUUGAGAGGAAUGACUCACACUCAAAGAAUUGAGUGACACAAAAAAUGAUCACGGUAAUGAUGAUAGUACUUUGCAGCAUAACUGCAAUUCAUGCAAAUAUAUUACUUAUUCAUUACAAAACGAAACAUAUUGGAACUUAGAUAAAUUAGACCCAGACAUACAGGGGGUAGACAAAAUAGCACAAACACCUGUACAAUUUAAUGCAAUUCAAUACAACAAUGGUUCAAAACAGCUACUUUUGUGAAGCUUAUAAUGGCUUAUUUGUUGUUGCUUUUUGUUAGGACUGUGUCAGAGAGGUGGUGAUUCAGCGCUGGUUAUUUGUGAGGCCAUAACCUUUGAACUGCACUUGUACUCUAAGUGUUAUCUCUGUAUGUAAUAUAUACACACAUCCAACUAGGGUGAGGCCGCCUUUUUUCAGAAAUUCUUGCAAUAAAACAAUGGAUUGUAAUCUUUUUUCUCUUUAAAAACAAAGCACUAUCUACUUGGGACCCUUUGAUACAGAUUACAUAUGUCUACAAGCUGUAUUACUUCAACCAAUGGGUCAUUUUUGUUUCUCAAAUUGUUCCAUUUUAUUACUUUUUCGAGGACGGAAGUGUAAGCUAGCUAGUAAAACACACUUAAUUUUGUUUAGCAGAAAUAGGAUUUUGGGGGGUCUGGACCCACUAGUUUGGGAACUACUUCUGCUGUAACGCAUUGCAGAUUGCCUCAAAUGAAAUGUGCGCUACAGAGGUGAAUCGUAUGAAGACUGAACUAAAGCCACUGUCAAGUGUUUGGAAACAUGUUUAAAUAAUGAUAUCAUGCAGGAAGUAUCCAUUAAAAUAAACAGUAGAGUGUGGAUGUAAAAGCGCUGCAUCUGGUCAGCAACAAUGUUGAGGUUGUUCUGUGUGCGGUGUUCAAAAAAUGCUACAUUGAUACUAAAGGUGCUGCUGUGCACCAAAUAACUAGUCUUUAUACCAGCACAUUGUAGUCCACACACCCACUUCAGCUUUAGCAAGGCAGAGUGGAUCCAUAUUCAUACUGUUUAAACCAAAUUCUGGCUCAGCUACACGCAACAGAUAGAGGACCAGACAACAUUUUCCUCUCUUUAACUAUCCACUUUUUGCAGUCAUAUGCUCAUCCAUUUCUGUAGCCAUAUUAGCGGUGUUUGAAGAGUUGUGUGCCCCGAGACGCCCUCCUGCAUCAGUCUCACUGUGGUACUGAGCUGUUAUACAAACACUUAACUAUAGGUUGCAAUUUAAGAUGCUGGUGUUGGUGGAUCUGGUACAAAUCACUGCUUUUUCAAAGUUGCUUAAAUGAAAAUGCUAAUGAACGUUUAUUGUUCAUUAUGAUUUUUAGUCAAAAGGUAAACUGAAACUAUUUUCUUUAACAAUAUUAUCUAUGAUAUUCCAUACAAAUCAUGAUGAUGUCAAUAUGAUCAUUUGAAUAAAAACUAACAAUGAUUAUAUCAUUUUGUGGUCUAAACAUAAGCACAAUAACAACAAUAUCCAUGAAUCAGCGACAAAUGAUGUCUGUAUUGAUUCUUUCUGUGAUGAUAAGUAUUGAACCUAAAAAUCCUAUAUCACUGCAAAACAGCAAAAGACAAGCAAAGACAAUGCCGAGAUAUCAAACAUGAACAGCGAAUAUUAUGUUUAUACUUUGGGCGUUAUUUAUAUAGCACCUUUUGUACACAAAAUGCAGCUAAAAGGGACAAACAACUGAAAGCAGAAGAAAAGUAAUUCCCCUUUACAGUCUCUCACUAUUAUUAUAUAGUGGGAUUUCAAUGUCAUGACACAACAACUGAAUCCUGCAAACCAAGUUCACCAAGUUUAUAAAAAAAGUAACGUUAUACCCAAAAUGUCUAUGACCAAACUUGGUGCUCAGUGUGCAGGAAUUCAACACUUAAUUUUCCUUCGCUUCUGGCUACCAGGUGUGAAUAAGACGACGCUGAAUUUAAACAACUUAAAAACGCCAGCUGAAAAUAACCUAAUUACUAUCCUACUAUUACUAACUAGUGGUGGACAUCAGUUAGACAAUUUAACGGGCGAUUUUCCAACCCAAGCAGAUACAGUGAUAUACAGUAUAUCAAUAUCUACAGAAGGUCUAAUGGUUAUAUACAUUUUUUUAUGUUGCCCAUUCUUUGUUCACUUUGCAAACCACAUGGAAAUACAAGAAAUAACCUAUGCAGUUUGAACAAAAAUAUGAACUUGUUAGUGCAGUCUUUUUGUUCCUCUGGCCUAAAGCGUUUAAAAAUGUAUCAUACUAUUGUAGCUUAUAUUAAAACUUCAAACAUUGUGCACAAGGGUUAGCACAAACAAUUACAGGGCGUUAAUAAAGUAUGUAAGUGGGCUCAGAGCCAUUCCAGUGUGCCUAUAAGUACAUAAACUGUGCUGGAGGGUCAUAAUGUUUUUGGUGAAAAUGCAUCUCAUAAAACAUAACAUAGUCCUAAACAAACAAUAAGUUAAUUUUACUGUAUAUAGAUCAUUAAUUCAAGUUAGUAAAUCAGUUAAAACCUCUUUAUCAAGCUGCUCUAUACUCAGGACAGGAUGGAAGGAUGUUGACACAUGAACUGACGUAAUUUUCAUUUAUGAUUUAAAAGGACAAAGUAUUUCAGGUAUGUCACCAAGUUGUAUAAACGCCAAUUAAUUAGUCCAACCCUUCGUACAAAGCACACCCUGCAAUUUAGCUUCUGUCCUCGUGUUCUGACAAAGAAAUGAUGGGAUGGGCAGGGAGGACCGGAUUAUGUUAAUACAGGGGUCCUGAAUGCUCUGUAUGCAUGAUUCAAAGAGGCUGGACGGUCAAAUUAUCGAUUCUCUGGUUUAUGAUGAUUUGGUCUGUAAAAAAUGUUGUUUCGCUGGCACCAGUAUCACAGUGCAUUUCCUUGUGAUACUGAAGCAGACAUCUAAAGUUUCUGCUUUCCGCCAGUUAAGCUUUUGGCUAUUUAAUGGCUCUUUGACAUUGAAAUAAUGGCCCACACAUUGUCUGCGUUAAAAAGGAUGAGACUUUUUGGUGAACACUGUUAAAUCUCAGCUGCAUAUAAAACUCCUUGAAAGAACUUAAAUUCACUGAACCAAUACAGCAGUGCUAGGCGCUAAUUCAAUAUUAUUGUCUGUCGACUUUCAGUGGAAUCAUAUUAUGACAAUAUGAUCAUAUUAUGUUAUUGUUUUACAGAAUUAUGUUGCUUAAAUGAAUGAUGUAAAAUGAAGCAAACUGUAAGUGAAAACUACAAAUAUGAGUUUCUCAGGUUGAGAAAACAAUCUGAACUCUAGAGGUGCUCAGAAUCGUGGAAAGUUCAAUGAGAAAAUUCAAUCUGCUGAUAAGGACCAUGUGAUACGGUCAAAAAUCUAUUAAGGACUUUGCUUUACAUGUGUGGAAAGUUUUGUCUGAUGUAAUUGUAAUUUUAGUAAGUGUACACAUUAUGUUGUAGUUUUCUUUAAUUCCUUGAGUUUAUUUGACUAAUUCAUGUUGUGAAGCUGUACAAUACACUGUGGUAAAUUAUAUGGUUUUAGUAGGAAUCAUUUCACUAUAGUAUUUUGGACUACUUCAGAAAUUGGGUUUAUUAUUAUUAUUAUUAUUAUUAUUAUUAUUAUUAUUAUUAUUAUUAUUACUCCAAUCCUAAACGUUUCAUUAUCAUUUACAGCACUUUAACUAAUAUUGUUGUUUAGAAUCAGAAUCAGAAAUACUUUAUUGAUCCCCGUAGGGAAACUCUUUGUUACAGUAGCUUGCCUUUACGUCAGUGCACACAGGAGAAGUACUAGAAAACGAUAUGAUACACUGUAAACACUAUAAAACAGGUCAGAAAAUAAAUUAAGUAUCAGGUUGGUAUAAGUAUAAGAUAAACUAAGUGUCGAGUACCAAGUGGGUUUACUGGUUGAUGAUGAACAUCUACAUGCCCCAUUGCCUUGGAGUGAUUUUAGUUCCUUCCUGUCGUUAUCUGUUUACAGUAAAGCCGAGAGUCAGACGUGUAGCCUGAGAAAGUGCAAGCUGGAUGUUUUACUGUCUUGUUGUGUUGGUGUUGAUUAAAGAAGAUUUUUUACAAAGAGAAACCAGCCUGCUUAUUACCCACAUCCAAGAGCGACUGGAGAAUGCUACCACAUCAAGAAAAUAGGGUUACAUAUGUGUAACAGUGGAAUACAGAACAUCAAAUUGAUGAUUUUAUAGGUUAAUUUGCAUACAUGUGUAUUGUGAUAUAUUAAUAUUGGCAAAAUAUUGUUAUUCAUAUUUAGAUGUUGAUUGAGUGUUAAAAAGUAUGAGACUCUGCACUUUGAUAUAGGGAUGCAUCGAUCGGAGACACUAGAUCAGUAUUGGCUCUGACAUGUUUGAUCCACAUUAAAAACAAUUUCUUUGUCAAUGUCAUUAUAACGUUCAGCUAUCAGUCACAUUUAUUAAGUCAUGGUGGGCCACUGACACAGUUUUUAGCACCACAGCGAUCCCUGGCCUCUAGACCUGAUUAAUGAUUCCAAUGAUACAGAUUUUAUGUGUGAAAAAGGGAGCACUGAUAUCUAUUCUAUUCCCCUAGGCUAUAUGAUGGUACUGGAACCAGUAUGAGGAGAUUUGGAUCAGUGCAUCCCUACUUUGGUACACACGGUUUGAUCUCAGCAUAUACAGCAUAUGACUGAUUUCUGUGUUUUGCAAAAUUACCAUUUAUGCGCCCGUUUUCCUCCUCAGUUGUAUAGAUAAAACACACACACACACGUACUGUAGAUGACUGACUUGCAAUACAUAUAAACCACAUGUACAUUAUUACCAUCGUUAUCAAGGUCAAAAUAUGAUGACAGUGUGUAUCACAGUGUCAUGGUCUGUGGUUCUGCAUGCUGACCUCUGUGUCAAUUCUAAUGGCUGUUUUACUUGUGCAUUAAGACAACUUUUAAGCUUUUCUGCAUGUUGCAGGCCUGUUGUUUGCAUGGGUGUGUCCUGUUCAAUAUCAGCUCACUUCCAGCAUUAAAAAAAGCAAUCUCUCUUGUUAUAAUCACGGACCUAAUUGUUGCUUAUAUCAGGAUACUAUAUGGGUAACAUUAACUAAACCUGUGGGACGUUAUUGGCGCAGUAAAGUGGUUGAAAAGUGUGCGCGUGUACUUCAGCCAGUGUGCAGACAGCGCUUUCAUUGUUUGUAAAGUAGGAAGGGACCUCAGAGGGAGGACCUGUCCCCUCACAGUAGUUACACUGUGAACUUUAUGCGGACACAGCUCCGAUUUAACACCCCAUAAAGAAAAAUUGACAACCGAUCUACGAGCUCUGGUUGAACUGAUUCUGGUCUUGGUCUUGGUCUUUCGUUGUGAAGGUGAUCUGGAAGAGGCCUUACCUUUUCACCACUCAGUGCCCAGGGACUUCCCUCUUCAUCGGUUUGAACUGGUCUGAUCUUCCCGCUUAAACAGCUUUGCUUUUGGUGACUGGAGGAGACGCCCAGAAAGUGGCAGACAAACCUGUUUUCUACUAUUUGGAUUAACCUCAGGCUUUUUAGCUGCACACAGUGUGGCCCUGUGACAUUUCAUAUGUGUGUUUUCAUGCUCAGGAACAGCAAACUUUAUACAACUGUGUGUUAUAAAACAUGAUUAAACUGUACAAAAUAUA